GACGAACGCUGGCGGCGUGCCUAAUACAUGCAAGUCGAGCGAAGUUUUUCUGGUGCUUGCACCGGAAAAACUUAGCGGCGAACGGGUGAGUAACACGUAAAGAACCUGCCUCAUAGACUGGGACAACUAUUGGAAACGAUAGCUAAUACCGGAUAACAGCAUUAACUGCAUGGUUGAUGUUUAAAAGUUGGUUUUGCUAACACUAUGAGAUGGCUUUGCGGUGCAUUAGCUAGUUGGUGGGGUAAAGGCCUACCAAGGCGACGAUGCAUAGCCGACCUGAGAGGGCGAUCGGCCACACUGGGACUGAGACACGGCCCAGACUCCUACGGGAGGCAGCAGUAGGGAAUCUUCCGCAAUGGGCGAAAGCCUGACGGAGCAACGCCGCGUGAGUGAAGAAGGAUUUCGGUUCGUAAAGCUCUGUUGUUAGGGAAGAAUGAUUGUGUAGUAACUAUACACAGUAGAGACGGUACCUAACCAGAAAGCCACGGCUAACUACGUG
rnacentral:rRNA from 1 species